AGUCGAAGCGUCAGUUUUGCUUAGAGCUUUGAACGAUCAGGAGGUGUUUCGUGAUAGAGGCCAAAUAUAAAAUCUGUUAUACACGUGUAUAUAACAAAAGUAAUAGUCGAGUGCAAUAUGUUAAAGUUAAAAAAUAUGCUUCUGAUUCUGUUGGGCUGCAAUCUGUUGCUAGCCAUCCACGCAACUGGAAAUAAUAAUAAACAGCAACAACAGAACCAAGAAACCUGGGAGCAAGACCUGUCGGACACUUUUAAGAUCGAGGGCAGCGAUCAGGGUAUACAAAAGGUUAAUCUGAAGUGCGGUGCCAAUUCGAUGAACGUCAUGUUGGAGACUGAGAAACCAUUUACUGGUGUUAUGUACACACGUGGUAGCUUCUACAAGCAAACGGCCCCGUGUUUCAUGAAGCCCACCUCGAACCAGGGUACACGCACAUUGGAGAUGAACUUUCAGCUAGACCAGUGCCAGACUCUCAAGGAUGGUGAGCUUUAUACGAACAUUGUGGUUAUACAAAACGAUCCGGAGCUCAUAACCCCUGGCGACUCGGCUUUCUCGCUGGAAUGUGAUUUCCGUCAACCACGCAGUCUGGAUGUUGAAGCGAGCAUGCAGGCUAGGGACAGAGUUGCGACCAAAUCCAAAAUAACACUCACUAGUCCUGAUCCCGCGGCACCAAUGGACAAUCUACACAAUUCGGUGUUUAGCAACAGUGAUACAGUAGAAUACAUACCAAAGUUUUCCAAACCAAAUGAAACCAUACGCCUGGGCACGGUUGAGGAAGUGACUCUACCGCUGACUCAUCAAAGAGAUGAGCUUUAAAUAUAGCAAACACUACCACCACAAACAAUACAAAAACAUGUCACAAAUAAAUAAUUAAAACUACAGGAAAAACGUUCAGAAUUCCACACUGGCGGCCUAAAUGCAACCGGACAUUAUUAUUCA